rnacentral:rRNA from 1 species
CAGCCUGCCCAGUGACUACGGGUUCAACGGCCGCGGUAUUUUGACCGUGCAAAGGUAGCGCAAUCACUUGUCUCUUAAAUAGAGACCUGUAUGAAUGGCUAGACGAGGGCUUAACUGUCUCCCCCUUCCAGUCAGUGAAAUUGAUCUAUCCGUGCAGAAGCGGGUAUAAUUAUACAAGACGAGAAGACCCUUUGGAGCUUAAGGUACAAAGUUCAACCACGUUAAACGACUCCACAGAAAGCAAGAACUUAGUGGCAAAUGAAACUUUACCUUCGGUUGGGGCGACCACGGAGGAGAAGAAAGCCUCCGAGUGGACUGGGCUAAAUCCCCAAAGCCAAGAGAUACAUCUAUAAGCCGCAGAACAUCUGACCAAGAAUGAUCCGACUGAAAGGCCGAUCAACGAACCAAGUUACCCUAGGGAUAACAGCGCAAUCCUCUCCCAGAGUCCAUAUCGACGAGGGGGUUUACGACCUCGAUGUUGGAUCAGGACAUCCUAAUGGUGCAGCCGCUAU